CUAUCUCUCUUCAAUACAUCCCAAUUUCUUAUCCACUUUCGUCAUGUAUAUACACAUAUGUAUAUAUCCAGGACGCUCUGCACUUUGGUGCUGAAUUGUAUCAAUUUCUCUCUGACCUGGAGAUUACUAGAACCAGGAGGUGGUGUUUUGCAGGUUUCAUAUAUCAAUAUGGUACAGAGGAUUCCAACCUUUGCUAUGGUUUGACCUUGACUGUAAGUUCAUAUAUACCAAGUGACAAUAGCUGGGAUGUCAAAAGGUUGCCUGGAUAUUGACAAAUCAUGACUUGAAGUUUCAUCUAUUCAACAUACUGCUCUAUAUCCAUUCCAGUUGUUGGUUGUUGAUGAUUGAGAAAAUGGCAAGCGCCUCAUGGUCAAGACUCGUGAUAAAACUCGCACGGUUUUUGGUGGAUUCGUGUUGGCAAUCGUGCAAUGAGCUCGUGACGGCGACCUAAAGUGGUGCUCUAUUUGUCUUGACACGCAGUGUCGUUGUCAGAACUGUCCCGCGUUGGUGUAUACUAGUGAUCUAUUGUGCGAUGAGCGCGCGUCCUUGCGAUGAACCGGGUUGUGAUCGCGCGAUGUGGCAUUAUUGUGUGGUCUGUUUGUCAUUAGUCGCCGUCAGAACUCGCACGGUUUUGGAGGGUUUUCGCUAUCAACAGUACGACGCUCGCGCAAUCUCGGCAAUUUAUGGGAAAGAGUGUAUGGUU